rnacentral:misc_RNA from 1 species
AGAGAGAGAGAGAGAGAGAGAAGCCAAUCACUUGGCACUGCUCUCUGUUUGAAAACAUUAAUUAUGGAUGAACCUUGGUGUUUCUUGUGAUGGCAUAGUUUCUCUAUGUAGUCGUAAUUUGACUUGUAUUAUGGUUUAUAGAGAGGGAGAGGGAGAGGAGCAUAUGAAAUUCAAUUUCCAAAAAGUGAGCAGUGCUGAAAUAGUAAAAUUGUGCCGUGUUUUGUAUCUUGAGUUGGUGAUAAAGCAAAAAUAUUUGUGAGAGAAUUGAGGGGGAAAUUUUCACAUCAUGAGGCUCUCAUGCAAUGCCACUCCUGUAGGCUGGAAAUCAUUCCCUCCCUCCCCCAUCACACCUGUAACUUCUCUCCUUUUAGCUAGCUUUACAUCGGUUGGGGUUAGAAACUGUUUAACAUUAGAAUGAUGUUGGUCCUUAUCAGUUGGCCUACAUGAGUGUUUGACCAUAUAAAUGGGAAAUUGAGUGGAUUUAGUUUUCCAUGGUUUUAUUAUACUGGAUGACUGGGCUUCUGAUUCCUUCUUGUAGAUAAUUGCUUUGAGGAUCCGUUGACUGCUUAAUCCCAUGUUCUAUCUUCUCAAGGGACAACAAAUUUACGAUUGAUGAAGAUGGAGGAAAAACCAAUCUUAUACAAAAGUUAAUGACAUGUUCAAACAUGGGUGAACUGGGUAAUAUGGUCAGUAAUCAGCAACAUAAUGUUAGGUCCUAAAACCAAGAACACAGAUGUGCCAUCUCACCAAUGAAAACAGUGGAGAUGCUAAUCGUAUGCCUUGUUUAGAAACUUAACAUAUCUUUAGCUUAAGUGGCUAAAUGAUUCUGUUUUGCUAACGUCAAAACUUGAUUCAAGAUUGGAAAUGCCUUGAAAUGACCAAGCUAGAUGUCACCCAAUAUGAAUGAAUAAGGCCAUUUUGCCACCCUAUUCAUGUUUCAUGGCCUCACCAUAAAUGACAUAUUGGCAUGAAUUUUUUUUUUUUUUGGUUUUACUUUGUUACUUAA